rnacentral:rRNA from 1 species
ACAUCCAGAGAAUUUAGCAGAGAUGCUUUAGUGCCUUCGGGAACUCUGAGACAGGUGCUGCAUGGCUGUCGUCAGCUCGUGUUGUGAAAUGUUGGGUUAAGUCCCGNAACGAGCGCAACCCUUAUCCUUUGUUGCCAGCACGUAAUGGUGGGAACUCAAAGGAGACUGCCGGUGAUAAACCGGAGGAAGGUGGGGAUGACGUCAGGUCAUCAUGGCCCUUACGAGUAGGGCUACACACGUGCUACAAUGGCGCAUACAAAGAGAAGCGACCUCGCGAGAGCAAGCGGACCUCAUAAAGUGCGUCGUAGUCCGGAUUGGAGUCUGCAACUCGACUCCAUGAAGUCGGAAUCGCUAGUAAUCGUAAAUCAGAAUGUUACGGUGAGUACGUUCCCGGGCCUUGUACACACCGCCCGUCGCACCAUGGGAGUGGGUUGCAAAAGAAGUAGAUAGCUUAACCUUCGGGAGGGCGUUUACCACUUUGUGAUUCAUGACUGGGGUGAAGUCGUAACAAGGUAAGCGUAGUGCU